ACGUCUCACACACCCGCCACCCAUGGUGAUGGCCACCUUCAGCGUUCCACAGAGCUUUUGAAAGUUCUCAUGGACUCAUGUCAGAAUCUUCCUCUGAAAGAUUUCUGAAACCAGCAAUAUCUUGUGCAGGAAGAAAUGGACAUGAAUUAGAUGAAUGCCUGGUCCAUCACAGACACUAUUCUUCUCAUGGAAAAAAGUACUUGGUCAAAGAUUUCCCUUGACAACCACCACCUACAGGAUUAUAAUUAGAGGAACUACAUUAGCAGCAGAUAAGCAUCAAUUGGUUGCAAUAUAGGAGAGAAACCAUGGAGAUGGUAGCUGGGUUGCCUGAGUUCAUCGUUCAGUCUUUCCAUUCUAUUAUUCAGCUCUCUGCCACUGCUUUAGACUUCGGGCCAGAAUUUGCCAGCAACAAAACCCCAGAAGAAUUUGUGGCAGUCGUCAACAGAAUCUUACAGCUUCACGGAGGUAACAAGCUCGAGAGGCUUCGCCAGUACUUUUGUCCGCUCGACUUAUUCCUUCCCGACAUCAAUAAUUGGAUAGCAUUUUCGAUCGCGAAGGGAGUCGAAGCACUUGAGAUGAACUUUUCCAUGGGCUUUGAUCUGGCACCUAAUCAAUUCAGCAAUGGAGCUCGGUUUUUCAGAUUACCUGAUCAUUUGUACCCAUGCAAUUCAUUCACACAUCUGAGUUUGAGCCACUGUGAAGUCCAACCACCUUUGGGAUUUACCGGUUUCAGUGGCCUUCGAUUUCUGUCUCUUGCCGAUGUGGACAUCACGAAUGAUGUGCUACAAUUCAUACUAGCCAACUGCCCAAACUUAGAGAGUUUGAUCCUCAGGGAAUGGCUGUCUCUUGAAUCGAUCGAACUGGUUGCUGAUAACCCCAGGCUUAGGAGGUUAGCUUUCGUAGAAUGCUGGAAUACCUAUCAAAUAGAGAUUUCUGCUACUCAUCUCCAGUCCUUCAUCUUCUAUGGUGAAUAUGCCUUUGGAAGCGAAUUCAACUUAUCUGAAAGUUCAAAUGUCAUUGUCCCAUCACUGGAGGAUGCCUUCAUCAGCUCCAUAGGCAUGGAACACACAGAACCCUAUCAUGGCUAUACAAUGCUGCUGUCUGAUAUUGCACAUGUCAAGAUCCUAAAAGUGUGCUCGGCAACUCUAAUGGUAAUACUAUCUCAUGCUACUUACUAAGAGAAAACAAUUAUUCACCCUGGCUUGAUGAUUCUUAAUCGACCAUAUUCAACAGCGUUUCACCAUCUACGAAGAAACCGAUGCUGCACUUUUGCCACUCGUGUUGCCGAAUCUGCAAGAACUGCAGUUGCUAAUGGACUCAAUGAACAGUGAGUACCUCAAAUACAUCUAUGGCUACGUCAGGCUCUGCCACACCCCACUCCUUGAGAAACUUUUUAUUCAAGUAGGUCUUAUCUCAAUAUCUUAAUCUUCAUUUCACGGAUCCUUUUUAUCUAAUGUAACUAAAAUCUGUCUUCCCUUUCAGCUUCCAUCAAUUCCUGAAGAUCUGACCUAUAUGUAUGAUCCAUCAGAAGAAGUUCAAGAACCAUCUGGAGUGGUUUUUGGCCAUCUGAGGGAUUAAGCUGAGUAAGUUCAAAGGAUGUAAGUGCGAAAUGAGUUUGGUGAAAUUUCUUCUCCAGAGGGCUGUUGUUUUAGAGAUCAUGGUGCUAGUCACUCCUCCAGGACAAAACAAAGUAGAAAGGAUUGGUGAAGGACAAGAUAGUGGAGUAGAAGAGGUAGUGCCUGGAUAUAACAUUGAGUAGAAGAAGUAGAAAGGUUGUUUUUAUUGAAUCAGACUAUAGUUAACAGAGAUGUAAACUCUCAUAUAUGAUGGAAGAAAUGUUAUGAAAUUUCUCAAAGUAAUUAUGGAAUUCCUCAUCUUUCAGAUUGUCUUGUAGUUUCAAAUGUUUACUCCAAAAUUCUUGCAUAUUGGCUGGUCUUUCGAGCAUAAAAAAUAUUUGUUGGCAACAAGGACAAUAACAAAAAGGUCGUGAAGUCCCAAACUAAAGGUGUAAAUUAAAACCAGUUUGCAAAUGUGGUGUGAAUUUCUUGAAAGAUGUUUCCUUGACCUGAAAUGGACAGCUGAACCCAAUCAAAUACCUACUGCCAAACUCACAAGCGGGAUAGUGAGCAAAUUGACAGCAAUCUUCUGACCCUUAGGUUAUUCGAUUUGGGGACGGUGGAUAACAUGGAUGGCACUUCUAACAAAAUCUAUCAUCAACAUCUCUAUUCGAUAUAAGGAACAUGCUCGAGAUCUCAUGAGUUAUUUCUAACAAAGGUAAGCCCUUUGAAGCAGGAAACAGAGGGUCUUCGUCGCUAUUCAACCAGAACCACUUCCGUGGAAAUCAAUUACAUUUCGAGUUCUGUACUAAAAUUGUCACCACCUUUAUGGUGCGUUUGACAGAGAAAAGAAGUCCAUCCCGAGUAUAAUCAAAUGAAGAAAAUCUAAUUAUCGGAUACAAAACUGCAGACGAAAUCGCAAGGGAUGGGGAAAACUAACCUUCUUGGAAGAACAAACAGGGGAAUUGCUCAGGAACACCCAUCUCAAGCUACAUCAAGACGACGAAAUCAACCACCCGUGUGAAGGGCCGGUCCACAGAGUGGAGAGGCCCCUGCCUCAUAGAUCUGGAACCGACCGGAAUGCCAGAAACCGCGGAAUUCGCACUAAAUCCAGGGCGGCGACACCGAGGAGGUUAUGAGAGAUAAAGAGGGGAGGAGAGAGGCUGGGCCAUGUGAGCCUUCGACUACUACUAAGAACCUGAAAGCCUACCAUGUGUGAGGCCCAGCUUAAUAGGCCCACUAAAAGCCCAUUUCCCAAC
rnacentral:lncRNA from 1 species